AGUGAACGCUGGCGGUAGGCCUAACACAUGCAAGUCGAACGGCAGCACAGUAAGAGCUUGCUCUUACGGGUGGCGAGUGGCGGACGGGUGAGGAAUACAUCGGAAUCUACUUUUUCGUGGGGGAUAACGUAGGGAAACUUACGCUAAUACCGCAUACGACCUACGGGUGAAAGCAGGGGAUCUUCGGACCUUGCGCGAUUGAAUGAGCCGAUGUCGGACUAGCUAGUUGGCGGGGUAAAGGCCCAUCAAGGCGACGAUCCGUAGCUGGUCUGAGAGGAUGAUCAGCCACACUGGAACUGAGACACGGUCCAGACUCCUACGGGAGGCAGCAGUGGGGAAUAUUGGACAAAGGGCGCAAGCCUGAUCCAGCCAUACCGCGUGGGUGAAGAAGGCCUUCGGGUUGUAAAGCCCUUUUGUUGGGAAAGAAAAGCAGCAGGUUAAUACCCCGCUGUUCUGACGGUACCCAAAGAAUAAGCACCGGCUAACUUCGUG
rnacentral:rRNA from 1 species